rnacentral:rRNA from 1 species
CCCGCACAAGCGGUGGAGUAUGUGGUUUAAUUCGAUGCAACGCGAAGAACCUUACCUGGUCUUGACAUCCCGGAGACCCUUAGGAAACUAGGGGGUGCUUCCAUCUGGAAGAAUCUGGAGACAGGUGCUGCAUGGCUGUCGUCAGCUCGUGUCGUGAGAUGUUGGGUUAAGUCCCGCAACGAGCGCAACCCUUGCCUUUAGUUGCCAGCAGUUCGGCUGGGCACUCUAAAGGGACUGCCGGUGUUAAACCGGAGGAAGGUGGGGAUGACGUCAAGUCCUCAUGGCCUUUAUGCCCAGGGCUACACACGUGCUACAAUGGCCGGCACAGACGGCAGCUUAGUGGCGACACUUGGCAAAUCCUCUAAAGCCGGUCCCAGUUCGGAUUGCAGUCUGCAACUCGACUGCAUGAAGCCGGAAUCGCUAGUAAUCGCAGAUCAGCCAAGCUGCGGUGAAUACGUUCCCGGGCCUU